GCUAAAUACCAGCUCAGAGAAGUAUAAUGACCCUAAAAUCUCUCUGCUGCUGCACAGGACACUUAUGUCAUGUCAGCAUGUGAUAUUAAAGAAGCACCCCAUUUCAUUCCAGAAGUGUUUGCAGUUUAAAAAUGGAAGAAGAGAUUUGCCGCAUGGUUGGUAUAUCAGUUCGUAAACUGUUUUGAAAUCCUUUGGGGGUGCAAGGAAUUAUAGAAAUUCAAGAUAUCAUCAUCUUUGGGCCAGAGAGCUCCACUUGUUUGUGCAAGCGAGGAAUCAGAUCUUGUCAAAAUCCACUGGGUGUGCUGAAAUGGGGGAAGAUGGAAGACGCAACAAUCUGGAUCUUUAACCCAAGUGUGCCUGAAGCAGAUUUAACUCUGGCUGGAUACAGGCAGCCCCUCCUCCCUUCUCAUCACCACAGAGGGCGGUUUUUAGACCAAUACGAGAUGCCUUCCCAAUGACAGAAUGGUUUCUGAAGACAAGGAGAAGUGAUCCCCCACUUUCUGUGGGUUCUGGCAAUCUCCUUAUGUAGGACGCUGCACCUCGUACCCCUUCCAAGGACACCUUUCCCCCUGCCAACCUCACCUCCACACCUUCUCCUCAAAUAAAGAAUGUGAAUCCUGCUAAAGGAUCCCUGACAGGAAGACAGAGUUUAUUGUUUCUGUGAAUUCAUUUCCUUCCCAGAUUUGAAGACUGAUAGACUCCUAGUGCAGAAAGGAAUAUGCCAAUAAAGCAAUUGUGCUGAUUAUCAGAGGGAUACAGUUUGCUGGGAGAUAUUUACUUUUAUUUAAUUAAGCUGCUUUAAUAAGAAGAUCAGUGAGUCUAUACUGUGUCAUGUGUUACAUAGUCCAGCAGUGGCCUCCCAAUCCUGCAGGGAGAAGAACAGCCUCUGCGUAGCCUAUUUGUCAACUUCAUCUUCCCACAAGCUGUUCUUUUCCAAUUCCCCCAUCCUGUAUCAA